AUCGCGCUCGGCCUUUUGGCUAAGAUCAAGUGUAGUAUCUGUUCUUAUCAGUUUAAUAUCUGAUACGCCCCCGAUUCGGGGGCAACGUAUUAAACCCAUUUUUAGAACAGGGAGCUGAAUAAGGGGCUCGCUCCGUUCGCUCCACGCAUCGACCCGGUAUUGCAGCGCCUCCGGGAACGGUGCCCCCUUU
ensembl:snRNA U2 U2 spliceosomal RNA